rnacentral:rRNA from 1 species
AUGUCGUCUCCGUCGGCUGAGCGGCAAGCCGGGGUUGGGCCUGCACACCGUCUAUCAGCACCCUCCCGCGUCUCCAUUCACGGAUCUGCAGUAGGCGACAUCCUUUGGGAAAUUGAGGAUGUCCUCGUGCAUUUUCUAAAUACAAUUGGGGCAUAUCUGAGGAAUGAAGGGAGGAAUAAACUCGUGGGAGAGUUCGGUGCAGAGGAAGAAGAACAAGAUAUUAUUUAUUUCUUGUGUACAGUCAAGCUUGUGCAUUGUCCCACUUUCUGGGGCCAGGCAACCUUGAAUCCAACGUCCACCUGCAGGCUACAUCUCAGGGGAAAUUGCAAAGCAUAUUAUGAAUUGUUACAAGAAACUAUUUCUGCUGUUUUGGUGCAAGGAUGUUGCUUUUUAGUAUGCUUCCCGUAUCUUGGUAUCUUGGAAUAA